rfam:Oryza sativa Japonica Group DNA, chromosome 2, cultivar: Nipponbare, complete sequence.
AAAAGGAUAAACCUUGAGUUUCCGUGUCUAAUUUUGACUGUCCGUCUUAUAUAAUUUUUUUUUAUAAUUCGUAUUUUCAUUAUUGUUAGAUGAUAAAACAUGAUUAAUAUUUUAUGCGUGACUUGUUUUUUUAAUUUUUUUUAUAAUUUUUUUAAAUAAGACGGAUGAUCCAAUGUUACAAACGGAAAUCAGGGUUUGUCUUUUU